rnacentral:precursor_RNA from 1 species
ACCUCACUCUUCCACUGUUCUCCCCUACCUUAGCCGCUCACAAGACUUUAGCAGCUCUUCCAGGCCGGCUCCUCUUCCUUCUCUUGGUGCGUGCUCAUAUCAUGGCCAAGAUUUGCUCAUGCCUCUUUCCACUUCAAGCAUGCAUAUGCGUCGUCUCUGCUGGCAGCCCGGCCGUUCUGACGCUAGCUGAUCGAUCUACUCCAUCACCGAGCUGGCUCUUCUAUGGAUUAUUCGUCCUCGUCCACCGUGGGACGCCAUGAUAGCAAUAUUAAGCUAGCAGGUUUGGUCGAUCGAUCGGCUCGUGUCGUGUGUGCCUGGCUCCCUGUAUGCCACACAUGUAGCCAACCCGUGGCGUGAUUGGAUGCUGUGGGUGGCGUGCAAGGAGCCAAGCAUGCAUAACAGGCCAUGAUCACUUCCUCUCUAUCCUCUGAUCUGUUGAAUAUAUCUGUAUCGUGUUUUUUUUCCCGAGAUGAUGAUGCACUUAUUUCAUGCUGUUACAUGCAUCUGUAUGCUUGUCUUGGGUUCGAAUUGCUUCUGCAGGGUUAGAAUUUAGGACUGGUUUGGAGAAGGCAGGUGAGUUCCAAUCCUCUUUCAAAGCUCCAUCAAUCGACAUCACGAAAUUGAGAGAGAGUUUACAGUUCGCCCAUUUUUUAUCCUAAAAACACAUCUACUUUUCUUUUGCUUACAUGAGAGCCUAGCCGCCUCUUGCCGCUGAAUCUGUGUUGAUUUGUUUGGUUU